CAGUCGCCGCGGUAAAACGUAGGUGGCAAGCGUUGUCCGGAAUUAUUGGGCGUAUAGCGCGCGCAGGCGGAUCAGUUAGUCUGUCUUAAAAGUUCGGGGCUUAACCCCGUGAUGGGAUGGAAACUGCUGAUCUAGAGUAUCGGAGAGGAAAGUGGAAUUCCUAGUGUAGCGGUGAAAUGCGUAGAUAUUAGGAAGAACACCAGUGGCGAAGGCGACUUUCUGGACGAAAACUGACGCUGAGGCGCGAAAGCCAGGGGAGCGAACGGGAUUAGAUACCCGGGUAGUCCCUGUCUCUUAUACA
rnacentral:rRNA from 1 species